rnacentral:rRNA from 1 species
AUUGAACGCUGGCGGCAGGCCUAACACAUGCAAGUCGAACGGAAAGAGGAGGCAGCUUGCUGCUUCGCGUACGAGUGGGGGACGGGUGUGUAAUGUGUGGGAAACAGCCUGAUGGAGGGGGUUAACUACGGGAAACGGUAGCUAAUACGGCAUAACGUUGCAAGCCCAAAGAGGAGGAGCUUAGGGCGUCUUUGCAUCGGCUGUGACCAGAUGGCAUUAGCUAGUAGGUGGGGUAACGGCUCACCUAGGCGACGAUCACUAGCUGGUCUGAGAGGAUGACCAGCCACACUGGAACUGAGACACGGUCCAGACUCCUACGGGAGGCAGCAGUGGGGAAUCUUGCACAAUGGGCGAAAGCCUGACGCAGCAACGCCGCGUGUAUGAAGAAGGUCUUCGGAUUGUAAAGUACUUUCAGCGGGGAGGAAGGGAGUAAAGUUAAUCUCUUCGCUCCUUGACGUUACCCGAACAAGAAGCCCCGGCUAACUCCGUG